rnacentral:rRNA from 1 species
CAGUCGAACGAAGCACUUAUCUUUGAUUCUUCGGAUGAAGAGAUUUGUGACUGACUGGCGGACGGGUGAGUAACGCGUGGGUAACCUGCCUCAUACAGGGGGAUAACAGUUAGAAAUGACUGCUAAUACCGCAUAAGACCACAGAGCCGCAUGGCUCGGUGGGAAAAACUCCGGUGGUAUGAGAUGGACCCGCGUCUGAUUAGGUAGUUGGUGGGGUAACGGCCUACCAAGCCAACGAUCAGUAGCCGACCUGAGAGGGUGACCGGCCACAUUGGGACUGAGACACGGCCCAAACUCCUACGGGAGGCAGCAGUGGGGAAUAUUGCACAAUGGGGGAAACCCUGAUGCAGCGACGCCGCGUGAGCGAAGAAGUAUUUCGGUAUGUAAAGCUCUAUCAGCAGGGAAGAAAAUGACGGUACCUGACUAAGAAGCACCGGCUAAAUACGUGCCAGCAGCCGCGGUAAUACGUAUGGUGCAAGCGUUAUCCGGAUUUACUGGGUGUAAAGGGAGCGUAGACGGCUGUGUAAGUCUGAAGUGAAAGCCCGGGGCUCAACCCCGGGACUGCUUUGGAAACUAUGCAGCUAGAGUGUCGGAGAGGUAAGUGGAAUUCCCAGUGUAGCGGUGAAAUGCGUAGAUAUUGGGAGGAACACCAGUGGCGAAGGCGGCUUACUGGACGAUGACUGACGUUGAGGCUCGAAAGCGUGGGGAGCAAACAGGAUUAGAUACCCUGGUAGUCCACGCCGUANACGAUGACUACUAGGUGUCGGGGAGNAAAGCUCUUCGGUGCCGCAGCAAACGCAAUAAGUAGU